ACUGGAGAGUUCGCCAUGGCU
rnacentral:misc_RNA from 1 species